rnacentral:rRNA from 1 species
AAACAACCGGCCGAAAGGCUGGCUAAAUGUUCCAUAAGACCACAGGAUGGCAUCAUCCAGGGGUUAAAGCUCCGCAAGGGGCGCUAGAGGAGGAGCCCGAAUCCUAUCAUGGUAGUUGGUGAGGUAACGGCUCACCAAGCCUUCGACGGGUAGCCGGCCUGAAAGGGUGACCGGCCACACUGGCACUGAGACACGGGCCAG